rnacentral:sRNA from 1 species
UAAUGUUCUUUCUUGACUUUGCCUGCCAUCAACACCCUGUGGUAUUUCUGGCUGGCAUUUUUCUCUGCAUGGAUAUGUUUACUUCUCCAUGCCUAGGAGCCUUCUCCAUCUCAUUCCAGUCACUAAUUCUACCCGCCGCACAUCUUCUCUGUCACAGUGAUUUGAGUGUGGGUGCUGAGACCUUCCUUCUUCAGAACAAUUCUGUCUGCAAUGAAAAACAGUAUUUGUUAGCUUUUAAAAUGAUAGCUCUGAACUUGAAUUUCCUCUGCACUCUCCGUGAGAUGACCAGGCCUGCUUGUAUAUAUGUGAUGAGGACGAAAAGUCAAAAGACAUAAAGUAUUUCAGCAUGUCUCAUUUGAAAUAUAAAUUUAAAAUGAUGAUGCCCUGCCAUUCAUUAUGUGAAUAAAAUGCCACCCCACAUGUUAUGAAUAAACUUUCCAGUUUUAA